rnacentral:lncRNA from 1 species
GCUAGGUUGCUAGCUGCUGAUGCUGCUAAUGUUGUGGCUUCUUUCAGCCGUUGUCUAUCUUUAUUUUCUCCAAGUUUGUUUCUUCCUUAUCAGAAUGUAGCGGCUUCUUUCAUGUUUCAUCUGCAAGUUCUUAUUUAGAUUUCGAUAUAGCUCAGUGGUUUCAGGUAUGUUGGUGUUCUCUCUCUAUGUGCCAGGAUAGGUGCUACGAUGAUUCGGCCGCUAGAAGGCAUGUUACUUUCAAUGUUACACAUGGCCACUAAUUUCCUUUUGCUAUUAUUACUCUACUUUUAGAUUGCUGAUCCUAUAUCACUGUGCUUCUACUUGUUUCCUGAGGGUUGCUGGGUUGCUGCAUCUGUACCUGCGAUUUGCGGAUUUAUGCUGUCUCAUUAUUCUUUCCUCAGGGGUUUCAGUUUCAUUUCAGAGCUGCCACACAGCCCUCAAUACUAGCUGGAUUCUUUACCAUAUACUUUUCCCUCCAUCUUCUGCACCGUUUCAUGGUAGGCUAUUUUCAUUCCAUAUGCUGUUUCAUGUGGAGCUACUAUGUACCAUGUAUCUGCUUCAUUCCUAUGUGGUUUCGGUUAACAAGCUCGCAUUGCCACUCCUUCC